CACCUGCUCUUCCAAGUGUUCUUCAGCACUCUGGAUAUGCCAGAAGAGGUGGAUACCUUCUGGAAGGGAUGCCAGGAAGAACACGGCCUUGCCACCAGCCCCAACAGGUUUGCAGUGCGGACCCUCAAGUCCCUGCUCUGCCUUCUCCGCUGUGAGGAUGUGGUGGUGGCAAUGGAACGCAAGGGUGCCUGGGACACGCUGCUCUGUGCUGACACCCACCACUAUGCCGUGGGUCUGCUGGCCAGAGAAAUUCGCCUGUCAUCCAUACACUUUUGUUGUGGGAUUGCAUUCUACCUGCUAGGCCUGCUCAGCAAAGAGAUGCCAUACUGGGAUUUCCCUG